UGUGAGAUAUAUUUUUUCAGCUUUUAACAUGUUCCUUGAAUGAAUCAGCAUAAAAAAAUGUAUUUUCUGUGAUAAACUAUCUAUUCAAGGGUGCGUUGGAAAAAAUGUAUAAUAUGAAUAACGAAUACAGCAGCAAUGUUUAUUUAUACAUCAAGUCCCUAAAGAAGAAGCGGCGAGACGGGAGUGUUGUGGCGGUGUUACUUGUUCGAAGAUUUUGUAUAGAGUGCUGCAAUGGGUCGUGGGGAGGAAGACGGGGAGACAGGGAGUCGUGAUGCUAAGCGAAGACGCAAGAAUGAAGGCGAGGGAGCCAAGAAGAGCACGGGAGGGACGGAGGGAGACUCCCGCACCACCGCCAAGGAGAAGGCAGUAGUAGGAGACACUUUUCAGGCCAGUUUAGAGCAUGAAGCAUCUGAAGCGCACAGCCGGACAGAGGAGGAGGAUCAGCGUCUUGUGGCCUCCAUCAUCAGUCAUGUUCGAACAACAAUGAAGGAGAUCCUGAAGCUGAAACAAGACCGUCCUGAGCAGUGGACCAGUGAGGUAGAGGAACGCAGGACUCAAGUGCUCAUGCUUAUGUUGUCAUUGCGUCGCCUCAGCCGUGUACAGAAGGUCAGGGUGAGGGAUGCAAGGGAGAGGACUGCUGAAGCACGCCAAGGGGUUGAUGGAGUAACUCUGCAGCUGCAGAACCUUCUGUAUGAAGUUGCUCACUUGAAAAAGGAAGUUCGCCGCUGCCUUGACUUUCAAUCUGCUGACCAGGAGAUUGACUUGGUGCCAGUGGAGCAGUUUUAUGUUGAGGCACCUGAGGACAUCAGUCGUCCUACAGAAACAGUGGAGAACCUGCACGAACAGCGCCUAGCUCGAUUACAGUGGGAAUUAGUGCAGCGAAGGGAUCAAACACAGCUUUUUGACAAGUUGACUAAAGAGAAGGAGGCAGUAGCUGAAGCUAUCAGUGAACAGGAGCGCAAGCUAGCUUCCUUAGCACCUAGGAUAAACACAAUCUUAGAGGCCACCCGUCCCCUUCAGGUUGCAUUAGACUUGCCCAUUGAUGCAAAGAGAGAGCAACAGAGGAUUGUUCAACUUCUUCCCAGUCCCCUCUACACUUUGUGGGUACAGGUGUCAGCAUAUGGUGAAGCUUUUGAUUCUAGCAUCAAGGUUGAAGUUUUUGGGGACAUGGAGGCAGCCAGGAAGCUCAUCACAAAAGAGGAGGAACCUCGUGCUGACAUUUACUCUGAGUCUGACAAUGAACAAGACCAGCAGGAGGAAAACCUUUCACGAAAAAAGCGUUCUCACAAGGCCCAGAAAAUGGAUGCGGAUGACCUAGAUGAUGGAGUACGGCAGACCUUGGGUCUCCACCCCCUCAAUGUCAAAGUCACUGUUAACACUAAAGAAGGCAACAGUGUGGUGGUCUCCUUCCAUUACAUGCAGGUUCUGCGCAUCAUCACUGCCAAGUGUACAGUAUUCUUGCAGGAAAACCUCAAAGCUGCCCUUACGGAUGUAAUUAGUGGAGAUACACUUCUCAGCUGUCUCUUCCCUGAGGAUGAUGGCCACAACUCACCCAACCCAGCUAACUUUUUCCAACUGAGCCAUAUCCACAUCAAUCUGUCAGACCACUUAGCCACAACAGGCCGCCCUUACAAGUGGGCUCAGCAUUUGGCAGGCCUUUCUUUCUCUAGCUACCAGCAACCAAGCAUAACUGAAGACUCUCAGGAAGUGCCAGCUGUGAGCCCUUCUGCCCCAGAUUCUUCUCCAGGAGAUGGAGAAGUGGUUGCUUGGCAGGAAAGUGCUGAACAGGUGCCAAUCAUUAUCCAAGCCAUCAGGAGGCGCCUGCAGGCCAGAUUGGCUCUUCACACACAGCUGCUCAACUUGGAAACAGCAAACUCAACAAACUGCAUUGCCAUCCCUGGAGAACUUCUAAGACAUCACUUCCCUGGCAAAGUGUGCUCUGAGCUAAGGUCAUGGCGACCCAUCACUUGGGCAGAUUAUGAAGCCUCACCAGCUACGCAGCACUUUCGGGAGGCUCAGCUAGUUACUUCACAGCAUCUAUUCUUCUUGGCAGUACUGGAGCGCAAGCAAGUGGUGCUUGAAGCCCAAGUAGCAGUGGCACCAGACCAUCCCAGCACAGUUCCUGUGGUGGCCUUAGCACUGCGCUGGGAGGGGCUGCACCAUGCUGAUGACAUUCCACAGUUAAGACAAAUGGAAAAAGAGAUCAACGUGCACUGGGAUGAGCUGGUGUCUUGCCGUAGUGACCGUCUCCAGCUAUUGCCACUGUUGCUGUAUCGCUUGGCUGUGUGUCUGGAUGUGUUCACUGAGGCUUCUAGUGCCCACAGUGAUCCCAACAACCCAGGUUCACACUUUCACAAGGAAAAGAUCUUCUUUAGACCUGCCAGAGGUCCAGACCGAGCAUUUCCCUUCAAGUAUCACCCAAAACUUGGAGUAUUCUCUCAACGAUAGAUGUACAAGUUUCUCUCAAGCCUACAGUUCACCUGAUGACUAGAUUCAUUAAUUUUUGAGGAGUUGCCGAUCCAAAAGCCUGGCUUAGGAGUGAUCCCGAGCCACCUGUACCAUCAAGAGAGAGAGAGAGAGAGAGCCAUUUGUGGCGGUGUGUGCAAGUGGUCUUGCUUUGCUCUUGGAGUUUUCUGGUUUAUUUUCUCUUGCCUGUGUGCUGAAAAACUCUGAAGAUGGUGAUGAGUCAUGAGUGAUGAAGAUGGUGAUGAGUCAUUGACAGGCAAAGGGCUGUGGCAUGUGAGAGAUGCAUUGUCUAGUUCCAUGUAGCCUGUGUGGGCAUGCAUGAGGGAGACCAACAUGAAGGCGCUGGUGUUCGAGCUUCUGGUGUUCCUAUGCAGGGAAUGCCUGAGCAAGAGUCUCAAUGAAUGGAGGAGUCAGGAUGAUGAAAAAGAAGAAAGAAGAAUGGAGCAGAGCAUCCAGACAGAAAACUUGAUGAAGGGGGCAGAAGCACAGACGACGAGGACUGAAGAGAGAAAAGACCAGCAAGUGGUGGAAGUGGCUUGAAUAGACAGACGCCCAAGGAAGAAAAUAAUGGUGAUCAAGAAAGCCCCAGUACAUGUCAUUGGAGAUAGCAUGGUCAGAAAGACUCCUCAUUUCGUGAGAAAGGAAAUUGAGUGCACCAGCAUGGGAGGUGCUAAGAUCCAGGACAAGAAAGUCAAGGAAGAAGUGCAAGAAAUGGAAGAAAGAAGCCUGCUAGUAAUUCAAGAAGGAGGCAACAACUUAUUACAGGCAGGUGACGAAGAAACAGUAAAGGAAGUGAUAGAUUCAGUGAAGGCAGCGGAAGAAAAGAUGUGUGUGGCUGUGGGGGUGUCCUGCGGCGCCCACGGGAAGGAGUGCAGUACGAGAAGAUCAGAAGAGAAACGAACCGCAAGAUAUGCAUGGAACUCAUUAAGGUUAAGAUGGAAUGGAUGGCAGAGAAGAAGGGCAACGUGAGCUUCCUGGACAUGGAUGGGAUCCUCGACCAGGACAAAUUCUACAGGAGAGACAGGGUCCACCUUAACCACAACAGGAAUGAGAAGCUAGGACGAGGACUGGCCGAGUGGAUGAGGGCGAGGCAGGUGUGUUGUGUGGACGAGGCAUGACGAGGAGGACCCACUGAUGACAGUGAACUUGGAAGGGAAGAGAUUAACCAGGCGAGUAAAUGUGUGAAGAUUGGCUGUAUAAAUGUGAGAGGAUGGUAUGUGGGCAAGUUUGAGGAUGUAUGCAAGGAGCUCAGCGAGUGAAGGUUCGACUUAGUGGGACUCACUGAGUUUCACCUGAGUGAUGAUGUACGAAUGGAGGGAUGCGAGUAUGUUAUGACUGAAAAGGGGCAUAAGAUACAGGCCAGGCCUUUGGAUCGGCAACUCUUCCUCCUCUUGUUACAACCCAUUCACGCUCAUUUUGAUUCCUCCCAGCCAUUCUCAUCACCCACACAACUUGUAAUCCACUCAUGUCUGUCAUUCUCAUGCACCUCUUCCUCCAUUUGCUUCCACUUUCAUUCCACAAGAACACCUUCCUUGCUAUUCUUGCAUCAUCCAUUCUCUCAAGCCUAAUCUUGUACCUAAGAGUGGCUUAUGUGAGUCUUUCCCUAAAAGUGCUCCAUCCAACAUCACCUCUCAAGGCUUCUACUGCUGUGUAUCUCGGUGCACUAAGAGCCACCCUUGCUACUCUAUUCUGGCCCACUUAUAAUUAUCAAGCAUGCAGUACUCUACAAUAUUCUUAGUCUUUCAAUAAUGUGUUACAUAAUGUUCUCAAUCUUUAUACAAUAUUCUUCAAC